GAUGAACGCUGGCGGCGUGCCUAACACAUGCAAGUCGAGCGAGAAGCUCAUCACAGAUGCUUCGGUUGAAGUGAUGAGUGGAAAGCGGCGGACGGGUGAGUAACGCGUAGGCAACCUGCCCUUUGCAGAGGGAUAGCCUCGGGAAACCGGGAUUAAAACCUCAUGACACCUCUUAAAGACAUCUUUGAGAGGUCAAAGAUUUAUCGGCAGAGGAUGGGCGUGCGUCUGAUUAGCUAGUUGGUGGGGUAACGGCCUACCAAGGCGACGAUCAGUAGCCGACCUGAGAGGGUGAUCGGCCACAUUGGAACUGAGACACGGUCCAAACUCCUACGGGAGGCAGCAGUGGGGAAUAUUGCACAAUGGGGGAAACCCUGAUGCAGCAACGCCGCGUGUAGGAAGAAGGCCUUUGGGUCGUAAACUUCUGUUCUAAGGGAAGAUGAUGACGGUACCUUAGGAGCAAGUCCCGGCUAACUACGUGCCAGCAGCCGCCGUAAGAC
rnacentral:rRNA from 1 species